ensembl:lncRNA
GGAAGGGGUGGAGCCAUGAUCCUUUCCAGACCACAUUUAGGGGUUGGCAGUGGAGGUGAGAGUACCUCACUGGAGAUCCUUGCCUACCUGAGGCUUUCCAGAGGGUUUUUGAAGUGGGGAAGCUGCAGGAGUGGCCUCUGUGGGAAGAGAAGAACAUAAGCUGUGCAGCAUUAGGUUCUCCACUGGCCUCAUUCUAAUCGUGAGGAGAAUCACCAAAGCACAUCAACAUUUGCAGCUGGAAGAAGAUAGUAAUGGUCAAAGAUACCAGUACCUUCCCCUUCCUCCUUUUCCUUGUUUGCUCCCACAACAAAAGAACUCAGCAAGAUAACACAAUUAUGAAAAGCUGAUAGAAUUAGGGGAGAGGAGAUGUGGCCUUCUUGGUUCUUAAUAAGAUGCAAGAAGACAAUAAUUCUGCCAUUCCUAUGAUCCUAUCUUCUACACUCCCGUCUUUCUGUGAAGCCUGUCACUGAGGCCAAAAUCCUUCAUAUCAUGCCUCCAAAAUGGUUCUCUAAAAAACAUUUUUAUUCACACUUAUUUAUUAAACAUCGAUAUUAUUUUUAUUGAGAUGUUCAUAUUAAUAUUUGCAGAAUUAUUUGACAAAUAAAUAACAUGCUUAUCUUUGAGAUUUUCUUUUGAAAAUCUUUUCAUAUACAAAAUAAUUAUGAAUGAGCAUGAAUUUAUUUCAUAAACUACUUCUGAAGCUUGUUCAAAACCUCCUUAAUUUAUUUCAUAAAUGUAAGACUAACUGCUUCAUAUCUUUCUAGAUAAUAUCCUGUCCAACAAAUACAUUCAUUUGUAAAAUUUCCAUGAUCUAACCAGGACUUACAUUAACAAAAGUGUAAAUAGCAAUCAGUGUCUCAGUAAAAAGAAG